UAUCGCAGCUAGGCUAUUUUGUGUUUGUGAUCCCAUCCAAUCUCAUAUGCUAAGCAGAGUUUGGCCAGGUCAGAAUUUGGAUGGGAGACUUCCAGCUGUUGCAAGAA
rnacentral:rRNA from 1 species